AGGUUGCCUGUGUCUGUACCCCGUUUCAUCUUCACUUCUGGGAACCAGGCUGAUGGAGAAGUCUUCUAGCAGAAGUACUAUGGGUCAUGAUGGCAGAAAGAAGAGCAAACUUGGUGGACCAUGUGCUGGCCCUUGAUGGGUCUACUCAGAUGGGUCACGUAUCUCUGCUCACAAGGGCACACAAGGGAAACUCUUGAAAUUCCAGGGAACUUUAUUUACUGAAGCCAAAAGACUCCAAUAGUCAUGAAUAGUGUCAUCUCCAGAAAGGUAGCUACCCUUGCAUUUCAUCAGGGCUCUGCUUGCAAGAAUCGCAAGGCAGAUCAAGCCUAGCGGCCUAAGAUUGAAUAACUGAGGCUUGAUAGAGUUACAUCACUUGUCCAAAGAGAUAAUGCCAGUGAAUGGAAUAGCCAGAUCGAAUUCCAGAAUCCGUAAAGCUCCACUGCUUCUCUCUGAAUGUAAUAACCCAUCCACAAGCCCUAAGAUAUUAGACACAUCAGUGAUCACUCCAUCUGCUUUUGGCCCAUUGCUGUUGUCAGGAUUUAUGCAUUUAUGUCUGCAAUAAUUAUUUAUUGAGGACCUUCUCUCUUGCAAUUGCAUAUGGCCUUAUAACUGAAUUCUGACUUUAUGUCUCUCUUAGGAUAGACAGAUAAAAAUUUUUCAUAUGUGAUCUUCUUUCUGUCCCCUACCUCUCAGCUAUGAGCCUGAAACAGCAGAUUCAGUAGAACAGAGUUUCUCAGGAAUGGCAGAGCCACAAGUUGGGAGGAGCCCAGCUCUGUCCAACAACCUGGAACAUCCAUCAACCAGGAAAACUGUUGCACUUUAUGUGAUUAAGAAACAUUUUUUAAGGAAAAAAGCAGUAAAUUUUUGGGUUAUAUUUGUUGCAAUAGCUGUGUUACUUUCCUAAUGCACAAUCACAAAUGUAAAAUGCCACACACAGAGUGUGAGGAAAUAUAUUGCUAUUGGACUACUUGUAGUCUAUUUAAUUUUUUUAUAUAGCUAUAGCCAGAUCUGGGGUGAAAUGGUUUAGAAUAAUAAUUUCCAAUAGUAUACAUCAUACCUUUAAAAAGACUUUUAUGGAUGGAUAAAUAUCUAAUUAUGGAACUGCCCUGCAACGUAAGUGGUGAGAGAAACUCUUUAUAUAUGCUUUGUUUUUUUCUGAAUGCAUAGGUUCAGAAUUAUUAAACAAAUCCUCAUCUUUUGACAGCCAGUAAUCAAUUUCUCAUUUGCAGGGAAUCUAAUUGCAUUAGAGGGGACACUGGGGAAGUUAUGGACUACCUCAUCUUUCUACUAUAAAAAAUGAAACUACUUGUCUGUAUUGAAUUUGAUUUUAUAUGUUCAAUGAAAUAUAUCAUAUCCUUAUAAUAAAGUUAUAUAAGUUGC
rnacentral:lncRNA from 10 species